CUCAACAUUCAGGGAAAGUAAUCAUAGUUUUACCUAUUCAGAAAUAUUGAGAGAGAAGCUAGAGUGACAUUUGGACAGACAGUGGAGCACCGAAUUGCUGAACUAAAAGUUAAAAGUGCUACUCAAUCGCCAAUAUCAGGCCUUAUUGAAAAUGAAGUAGUGGAGCCGAAAAUCCCUAUGAGUUGGCUGUGUACCUAUAUUUCCUGCAUCAAAAUUUAUCCCCAUCAUGGGUAGAAAUCUUUGCAAUGGCUGAGUGGGUGAUGAGCAUUCUGGAAAGAGAAGACACUGAAUUCUUUGAUCAUCUUCAGCAGAACUUCAGAAAGACUAUUACAAUGGACCCAAAAGAUUUCUUGGUAGAACUGAUAGUUCAAGAAAGAGAUGAGGCUCAAGAACUGUAUGCCAGUGCAGAUAGAGCUGAGCAGAACCAACAUCUAGCCAAAGAGUUACUGGGAAGUCCAGUAAUUUUCCUGAGAAAAUGGAUGGGUGAGGUAAG
rnacentral:lncRNA from 1 species